rnacentral:tRNA from 1 species
GCUAGGGAUGUAGCCCAGUGGUAGAGCACUUGCUUAGCAUGUGAGACCCUGGGUUCAAUUCCCAGUCCUGCA